UCUGGGCACAACGGGCAAGCGUCAGACCUGUGCCAUGAGAGCACCAUUCAGCGUAAACCACACAGACCACACAUAACAUUGGGCCCAACCGGGAGAGUGGGGAUUUUUCAGAUGGGCCCUACGAGCAUAGAUAUAUGCCUACGAGUCUCCGAAGCUACUCGACUCCAGCGUCAGCCUGUUUCCGGUUCGGCGUCACCUGAGCUAACAGGCUACCCCUGUCAGUGAACACCACCCGAGACUGUGGACAGGUUCACUCACAUCGGAUGAAUAAUACGUUUUGAAGUUCUGCUUGUUCUGCUGGCAGAGAGGCUAAAGACGUGUGAGCUCCCGUUUCUGAGGUACGGACGAGCCUGAAGGACACAGCUGUGCUGACCGUUUUCUGUCUCUUAUGGCAAAGAAGAAAAAUAAAACACUGGGUUCUUAUCUAAAGUGUAUCAAAUCAGGAAGCAAAAGAUAAAUAUUGUUCUAAUAAGUGUUAAUUUGAAUAUAUAAUAUAUAAUGAAUAAAGAAAUUAACUUUAUUAUCCAUGACACUUAGCAAUGACUGCCAACUCUAAACAGUUGAAGGCCGUCUUUAGUUAGGGAGGAAAACACAAAGUGUUGUGCAGAUGAAGCUGAUGCAUGUCGCCUCCUGUUGAUAAUAAUAAAUUAAUAAAUUAUGCAAGUUAUUUGA